GACGAACGCUGGCGGCGUGCUUAACACAUGCAAGUCGAACGAAGUGGCGAACGGGUGAGUAACGCGUAAUCAACCUGCCCUUCAGAGGGGGACAACAGUGGGAAACGACUGCUAAUACCGCAUACUGAAGGAGGGGAUUGCGUCUGAUUAGCUAGUUGGAGGGGUAACGGCCCACCAAGGCGAUGAUCAGUAGCCGGGCUUGGAGGAUGAACCGCCACAUUGGGACUGGGACACGGCCCAAGAUUCCACGGGAGGCAGCAGUGGGGAAAUAUUCGAAAUGGAGGAAAGUCUGGCGGAGCAAAGCCGCGUGAGUGAUGAAGGCCUUCGGGUUGUAAAGCUCUGUUAAGCGGGACGCGGUACCGGAAGAGAAAGCCACGGCUAACUACGUGCCAGCAGCCGCGGUAAUAC
rnacentral:rRNA from 1 species